GCUGGCGUAGCUCAACGGUAGAGCAACGGUUUUGUAAACCGUCGGUUGUGGGUUCAACUCCCGUCGUCAGCU
rnacentral:tRNA from 1 species